rnacentral:rRNA from 1 species
CCCCUAGAUGUUCUGGGCCGCACGCGCGCUACACUGAACAGUUCAACAAGUCUUAACCUUGGCCGAUAGGUCUGGGUAAUCUUUGAACGCUGUUCGUGAUUGGGAUAGACCUUUGCAAUUAUGGGUCUUCAACGAGGAAUUCCUAGUAAACGCAAGUCAUCAGCUUGCAUUGAUUACGUCCCUGCCCUUUGUACACACCGCCCGUCGCACCUACCGAUUGAAUGGUCCGGUGAAAUCUCGGGACGGCGGCUCGGUCGCUUGCGUCCGACUGCUGAAACUUGAUUAAACCAUAUCAUUUAGAGGAAGGUUAAGUCGUAACA